CGACGAGAACCCAUGUCAGGMGGGAUUAMCCGCUGAGUUUAA
rnacentral:rRNA from 1 species